GGCGGGCCCCAGCCUGGGCCCGGGGGGGGAGGGGCACUGCCGGCUCGCGCUGGACAGAGACCGAAGGGUGGGAGGACGCGCGGCGUUUGCAAAUAACCGGCCCUCAGGGCAGCAGAGGCUCGGGGAUCUGGCGGCUCCGCAGCACUUUACCACGCAGGCUGUCAGCGGUCGGAGUCAGAGAAAUGCUGCGAGUUUACCCUGAGGGGGCCUUCCUCACAGGACCUGCUUUCCCUGGGUUGGUUGGAGUUGCGCCCUCUCAGGCAAGAUUGAACACUGCCACUUGAGUCAAACAGCAACUGCAGCUGACAAUCUGUGAACAUGGCUGACCCUGAAUUAUUCUCCAGUGCUGACGCCAACAAUAGCAGCUCUCGACAUGGAGCUCCUUUAAACAGGCUGAUUAAGGAUGUGGCAUUGGAGUGACAUUAUUAUCAGCUCAGCUUCUUCAGGCUGAAGUUAUAGACCCCAAGAGCCACAUAUUCCAUUUCUGUGUGAUGCUUCCCGGAUGUGGGCCCUGCAUAUGUAUGGAUGCUGCAAUUAAAGCCCUGGCCAGAGGAUAGGGACGUGAGUAAUGGUGGUGCCCAGCAUUAGCACAACGCUCCAUUCAUCACUGCUGAAGGGGAAACGUAACCCUCAAAACAUCCUGGGAAGAGGGGGACGGGGAGGAAGAGCAAGCUCCUUGGGACCAUAAUUCACCACUCAGCAGAGGACGUGAGAGUCUCCACAUUAGAAGGGACUCUGUUCUUUGAACUUCAAUGCAUAUAAUGGUGUUUGCAAUGUGACCAUUGUGUGGAGCUGAUUAAUCACAUGAUUGCCAUGUGAAUAUUUUCCAGGCAGGCAUUCGAGUUCAUGUAUAUGUGUUCCCUGUUUAUGGAGGGCCAUCUACACCACCAACAUUGGGUAGAAACUUGGCUCAGACUCUUCAUUCAGAGCAAACCGGUUUCCCCUUCAUUAUAUGUACUCUGUACCCUCCUUUAGUGGUGACAUGAUUACUACAUGUCAUUGGCUUGCGGUUUGUGGAGUAGAGGCUGUGAAUCUGAUUUUUAUUGUUUCCCAGUCAGUGCAGCAUAUUCUGAAGGAGAAUAGAGGGUUGGAGACCUCUGGUUCAGGUCAGAAUAAAUGCUGAAAGGCUUGACUUUGGAAAGGGUAAAAACAAUUCAAUUUAAACUAGAUCCUCAGCCAGAGGCAGGGAGAUGAAAUGGUACCCAAUCUCCCAGAAGAGGUUGGCAUGAUCUUUGUGCCCUAAUCAGGCUUCCUUGAGCUCAUGUGAGAGUCGAAGUUGGGAAAAUCAAGGAGGAAGUCAUAUCCCAGAAUCUGGAUCAACACUGCAGAGCAGCGGGUGGGCGAGGGGGUGGAUAGAAAGGAGAGCUGUGCCUAGGGGUCUACCAGCUGGCCCAGGGCAGAUCCCAAGUCGACGAGUGACAGGGUCAGUUCCAGGCACCACCACCUUGAAAUCUGAAGCUGCUGCUCUGCUCCCUGUCUCUGCCACAUUGGACCCAGGGCUGUAACUGGGUCCUCAGAUAUUCCUGCUGGGAGGGGAUGGGGAAGGUGAAAUCAGAGAAAUAAGGCAGGGGCUGACCUCUUAUGAAGUUUCUCCUGAAAGACUGUCAUGGAACAGUGUCCUAGAAACCAGGAUGAAGGGCUGCUCUGACCCACUGGCUUAUCAUGGAUUAGAGAAGAUGCCUAUGAUAGUACAGGCAGCAGGGGAUGGGGAGAUGGAAACUGCAGAGAGUGACUUCUCCAGGCUACCCAGCUGUCAUCCUACAGGACACAUCCUCAGACAGGCAAGCUUUGCCCACUGGCUGUGUCUGUGUUUUUGCACAGACUGGCACAGCUGAGGUCCAGCUCCUCCCGAAUCCUGGGCCCUCAGAGUCGCACUAGCCUGACUGUGUCCCUGGCUGUCCCUGCCUCCAACUCAGUCGGGAGAGUGUAGAAGAUAGUUACCAAACAGGUGAUUUUUGGGAUUUAUUUCUCUAGCUGACUUAACAAUUGCCACUUUCUUCUUCUUUUGGUUUCCUUGACCUGAGAGUGUUAAGAUGGUGAGAAAGCUCAGAAUGGCAACACUCUGAAGGUAGACCGGGGAUAGAAAAAGCCUCAUUUUCUGUUUCUGAGAGGUUUGCUUUUCUCUAUGUUGCCCACGGAGACCCGGAAGCCACUCCUCCCAGUGGGAGAGGAACCUCUUGUUUCUCUUGGUUUCUGUGUUGUGCGGCUCGGCUCCGACUGCAGCUGAAACUUGACAUAAAGCCGCAGUGAGCGGAGUCGCACAUGCUGCUUCUCAGGCCUCCCCUGAUAGUACCUUGUUUGGAGAGAAUUAUGACUGAAAGGGGAACAAAUUCCCGCUGGCCAGAAACUUGGCUUAGAAGCGCUCCUAUGGGGAAGCUCUUUUUUGUUUGCCGUUUAAAUAAAUCCACUGAUAGAAUCAAUAUUUGUGAGUAUUAGGGAAGACCAAGUAAACAGACAAAGCCUGACAUAUUCAUUGCAAACAGGAGCACUCCUGAGGUUCCCAAGGGUAAUUGAGGAGUGGGAGAGGGGCAUCGUUUCCUGCACAGAUAUAUGAACUGUUUCAUUAGUUUAGACACGAACACAUUUUUCUUUAAAAAGAGUUGUUACUGAAAUCUUGCCAAAUUUGCGCCUCUUACUAGGUAUACAAAGCAUCAAGAAUAUGAGGUGCAAAUAACAGCAUUAAGAUUAGCUCUCACCUCGUCCCCACCAUCUGGAUAAAACUAUGGAAAAGGAGAAAAGCAGCUCCUGGCAUUCUGGAACUGGCAGGGCAAUGACACCUAGGCGGACAGAAACAGUCCCCCGAAUAUCACAUCAGAGGCGGGCAUUCUGUGACUGCAGUGAAGGGAGAGAACAAACAAAUGAGAGAACUUGGUAAUUUUGUCUAAACACAGAUAAAAACAACCCACAAAAGUCCCAAACAUCCUCCUAUUAUGGCUCAUAAUGAGUGACUAUCACAGCUCUAGCCUCAAGUCGUAGCUCUAGCCUAAUGGACAAGAUCUGUUGAGAUACUCAGUCUAGGACAGCCCUCCCUUCCUGAUAGCAUCCAAUCCCUUGCAAAGUCCUGCUUCCUUUUACCCUCCCCAAAAUCACCUAGCCCGUGCCCAGCUCUAUAAUAAAUCCUUUCUCUCCCUUCUUUCCUGAGAUGCCCCACGGUCCCCGUGGUGUGCAUUCUUCCUUACUGCAAUGAGUGAUACAGCCAAAUCCUCCAGGUGUCGGUGUGCUGGUGAGCUCACCUGGAGGACAUUGACGCUAUUCACUAGUUUCUCAACUGCCAAUCCUUCCAUCUCUUCUUUCCUGAAAACAGAACCAUGAUGUUGUGGCCAGUGGAACCCUCUUGUUCUCCAGGGAGGGCGGCCUCACUCCCAACCCGGGAUGACUCAUGACAGGGCUUUGCAGAUGUUCAGUUCAGGGAUGGGCUUGGGAACCAAGUCUGGUCAGUGUCACUUGAGAGGAAAUGGAUUUAUUGUGCUAUUUUUAACUAGAAGUGCAUAUUUUUAAUGACUAUAUUACAUUUAGUUGCGUGAAAGUCUUUAAUGUUUCGAAAUUUAAAACAUCUCACUUAUGGCAGAGGGUAAAAGCUGAGCAACUUGGUGUGGUUUAACUUUCUUCCUCUCACAGCAUUAAUUACAUCCUAAGACAUAAUAUAGUAUUUUAGACACACAUUAUUGGUACUUAUUUUUUUAUGUCGUAUUGCCUUUUUUCAAGGACUGUUUUUUUUUAAGAUUUUAUUUUUUUCCUUUUUCUCCCCAAAGCCCCUCGGUACAUAGUUGU